GACGAACGCUGGCGGCGUGCCUAAUACAUGCAAGUCGAGCGGAGCGGCGGAUGGGUGAGUAACGCGUGGUUAACCUGCCCUUCAGUCUGGGAUACCAUUUGAAAACAGAUGCUAAUACCGGAUACUCAGGGAUGGACCUGGGAUGCAUUAGCUAGUUGGUAAGGUAACGGCUUACCAAGGCGAUGAUGCAUAGCUGGGUUGAGAGACUGAUCGGCCACAUUGGGACUGAGACACGGCCCAAACUCCUACGGGAGGCAGCAGUAGGGAAUCUUCCACAAUGGACGAAAGUCUGAUGGAGCAACGCCGCGUGAGUGAAGAAGGCUUUCGGAUCGUAAAGCACUGUUGUUGGGGAAGCGGUAAUCAACCAGAAAGGCACGGCUAACUACGUGCCAGCAGCCGCGGUAAUUC
rnacentral:rRNA from 1 species